GUUCUGCAGCUUUGCUGGUGUG
rnacentral:piRNA from 1 species